rnacentral:rRNA from 1 species
CUACGGGUGGCAGCAGUGGGGAAUAUUGCACAAUGGGCGCAAGCCUGAUGCAGCCAUGCCGCGUGUGUGAAGAAGGCCUUCGGGUUGUAAAGCACUUUCAGCGGGGAGGAAGGCGUUAAGGUUAAUAACCUUGUCGAUUGACGUUACCCGCAGAAGAAGCACCGGCUAACUCCGUGCCAGCAGCCGCGGUAAUACGGAGGGUGCAAGCGUUAAUCGGAAUUACUGGACGUAAAGCGCACGCAGGCGGUCUGUCAAGUCGGAUGUGAAAUCCCCGGGCUCAACCUGGGAACUGCAUUCGAAACUGGCAGGCUAGAGUCUUGUAGAGGGGGGUAGAAUUCCGGGUGUAGCGGUGAAAUGCGUAGAGAUCUGGAGGAAUACCGGUGGCGAAGGCGGCCCCCUGGACAAAGACUGACGCUCAGGUGCGAAAGCGUGGGGAGCAAACAGGAUUAGAUACCCGUGUAGUC